UCGCACGAGAAAGUGGGGCAACCCAUGAGUACAGUGGCGUACGGGUGAGUAACACGUGGAUCAUCUACCUCCUUGUGGGGAAUAACCCUGGGAAACUAGGGCUAAUACCGCAUAAGCUCGAGAGAGGAAAGCAGCAAUGCGCUGGGAGAGGAGUCCGCGGCCGAUUAGCUAGUUGGCAGGGUAAAAGCCUACCAAGGCAAAGAUCGGUAGCCGGCCUGAGAGGGCACACGGCCACACUGGCACUGAAACACGGGCCAGACUCCUACGGGAGGCAGCAGUGGGGAAUCUUGCACAAUGGGGGAAACCCUGAUGCAGCGACGCCGCGUGAGCGAUGAAGCCCUUCGGGGUGUAAAGCUCUUUCGGCAGGGAAGAUUAUGACGGUACCUGCAGAAGCAGCUGCGGCUAACUACGUGCCAGCAGCCGCGGUAAUACGUAGGCAGCAAGCGUUGUUCGGAGUUACUGGGCGUAAAGGGUGUGUAGGCGGUUGUUUAAGUUUGGUGUGAAAUCUCCCGGCUCAACUGGGAGGGUGCGCCGAAUACUGAAUGACUAGAGUGCGGGAGAGGAAAGUGGAAUUCCUGGUGUAGCGGUGAAAUGCGUAGAUAUCAGGAGGAACACCGGUGGUGUAAACGGCUUUCUGGACCGUAACUGACGCUGAAACACGAAAGCGUGGGGAGCAAACA
rnacentral:rRNA from 1 species